rnacentral:rRNA from 1 species
UACGUAGGGUCCGAGCGUUUGUCCGGAAUUACUGGGCGUAAAGAGCUCGUAGGUGGUUUGUCGCGUUGUUCGUGAAAACUCACAGCUCAACUGUGGGCGUGCGGGCGAUACGGGCAGACUUGAGUACUGCAGGGGAGACUGGAAUUCCUGGUGUAGCGGUGGAAUGCGCAGAUAUCAGGAGGAACACCGGUGGCGAAGGCGGGUCUCUGGGCAGUAACUGACGCUGAGGAGCGAAAGCGUGGGGAGCAAACAGG